rnacentral:rRNA from 1 species
UACGUAGGGCGCGAGCGUUGUCCGGAAUUAUUGGGCGUAAAGAGCUCGUAGGUGGCUUGUUGCGUCUGCCGUGAAAGCCCGUGGCUUAACUACGGGUCUGCGGUGGAUACGGGCAGGCUAGAGGCUGGUAGGGGCAAGCGGAAUUCCUGGUGUAGCGGUGAAAUGCGCAGAUAUCAGGAGGAACACCGGUGGCGAAGGCGGGUCUCUGGGCCGAUACUGACGCUGAGGAGCGAAAGCGUGGGGAGCGAACAGG